AGUGAACGCUGGCGGUAGGCUUAACACAUGCAAGUCGAACGGCAGCACAGUAAGAGCUUGCUCUUACGGGUGGCGAGUGGCGGAUGGGUGAGGAAUACCUCGGCCUCUACUUUUUCGUGGGGGAUAACGAAGGGAAACUUACGCUAAUACCGCAUACGACCUACGGGUGAAAGCAGGGGAUCUUCGGCCCUUGCGCGAUUGAAUGAGCCGAUGUCGGAUUAGCUAGUUGGCGGGGUAAAGGCCCACCAAGGCGACGAUCCGUAGCUGGUCUGAGAGGAUGAUCAGCGACACUGGAACGGAGCCACGGUCCAGACGCCUGCGGGAGGCAGCAGUGGGGAAUGUUGGACAAUGGUCGGGAGCCUUGUCCAACCGGAGCGCGUGGGUGAAGAAGGCGUUCGGGGUGGAAUGCCCGUUUGUUGGGAAAGAAAAGCAGCAGGUUAAGACCCCGCGGUUCUGACGGUACCCAAAGAAGAAGCACCGGCUAACUUCGUG
rnacentral:rRNA from 1 species